rnacentral:rRNA from 1 species
GAUGAACGCUAGCGGCAGGCCUAACACAUGCAAGUCGAGGGGUAGAGGAAGCUUGCUUCCUUGAGACCGGCGCACGGGUGCGUAACGCGUAUGCAAUCUACCUUUUACAGAGGGCUAGCCCAGAGAAAUUUGGAUUAAUACCUCAUAGUAUUUUCGAAUGGCAUCAUUUGAUUAUUAAAGUUCCAACGGUAAAAGAUGAGCAUUCGUCUUAUUAGCUAGAUGGUAAGGUAACGGCUUACCAUGGCAACGAUAGGUAGGGGUCCUGAGAGGGAGAUCCCCCACACUGGUACUGAGACACGGACCAGACUCCUACGGGAGGCAGCAGUGAGGAAUAUUGGACAAUGGGCGCAAGCCUGAUCCAGCCAUGCCGCGUGCAGGAAGACGCAUCUAUGGUGUGUAAACUGCUUUUGUACGGGAAGAAACACUCCCUCGUGAGGGAGCUUGACGGUACCGUAAGAAUAAGGAUCGGCUAACUCCGUGCCAGCCGCCGCAGUAAGAC